AGAAAGCGCUACUGCGGAGUGAACCGGUCCUUAUAUCUUAGUUUCGUGACUUUGGGGGCGGCAGGCCUGUGAGUUGUUUUCCGCCCUGGACGCUGUUUUGCAAAGAUCUCUGCGCGCCCACCGCCACCCUCCCGGGCGUGCGGGCCGGGAAGCAGCCAGCGGUGGGAAACUCCGACGCCCUCCUCGACACUUUUCUCCCCCCAACUCCCCAAGACUCACUUCUAGGGAAGUCCUUUUUCCCAUCAAGCCCUGGGAAAGACUGGCCAGGCUGAGAGAGGGACCCGUCCUCCUCUGUGCCAAAGGCGGGAGCAAAUCCUGGUGCUGUCGCCUUUGGAUGUGAGUCCUGGAAAUGGCGGGGGUGAGGAAGGUGGGCAGGGGCAAGGUUUGGCCCUCAGGCGAGAACCGACGCCUUGUCCCGGAAGCGCAGCACGGCCGAGUGCGUCCGGGGGUGCAGACGGCGCCCUGGGGUGGUCCUGCCGCCACCUCUCCUUUGACUCAGGAGCGCCGCGCCGCGUCCGGGCGCGUUCUCAGUCGCGCGAAGCCAGAGAGGACCCUGGGCGUGAUUCUCCCUCCCUGGCACAGACGGAGACCCGAGUGACCCCGGGGUCCGGGUGGGCGUGGGGAAUGGACCCAUAGACCCGGGACGAGCGGCGCGGAGCCCGCAGCUGGCCAGCUUCAGCCACCUUGGGAGACGCAGUGCAGCUGCCGCUGCUGACAGACAAGACCAAGGCUCGGCUGGGCCCCACCCCAGAUCCGGCCUGAGCGCCUUCCGCGCUGCUCGGCCUCAAGGCGAAACUUUUCGCGCAGAAACUCCUGGAGAACAGCCCCGGCCGCCAGGUACUCGCCCGCCCGGACCGCAAAGCCCACAGAGCUUCAAUUCGCAGGAAGGGGAGUGGGGAGCCCUGAGCUGGGGUGUUCCUGGAAGAGGUCGGGGAGCGGGGGGAGAGGCAUUCCAGGCUGGAGGCCUGGAAACGUUUGGAAGCUUUGCUAACCUUGGAGACCAUGUCAGGAAAGAAGCGUACCCAGGCCGUCUGCUGUGUGCCCACCCCGAUCCCCAUCAGUGCCCCACGCACUCGAGCUCUUCUUCGGCGUCUGCAGCCUCUUCAUCCGCGCGGAGAGGCGGAGGUCUCCCGGAAACAGUGUCCGACUGUGGCACCCCAGAGCGUCCAAUGCGAGCUCAGGCCUUUCCCGCAAGUCUGGAGUUUUCUUAUCCAGUUGAGGCCGCCUUCGCUGUACUCACUCUCUGCCUCCCACCCCAUCUUCUGCCACCCGACCUCCAUCUUUGAUGGUUAGCGCCUUCAGCCCUCAACAGCUUCGCACAACCAACCCCUAGAAGCCGUGGAGUCAGACCGGCCAGGGUGGGACCUAGGUUUUAACUCGGGUUCUGGCUACACACGCUGCGCCUCCAUACAGUUUGUCCCAGGUUUGGCAGCAGGCCGGCUACCUUCAGGAAUUCUUUGCUUUGGCUUCUGUCUGUUCCUGUCUGUUGGGCAAGUUUCUAGCUACCCCACUGAGAGAACCAUAGAACAAGGACCCUGGCAUGGCAUACAGACAAGGAAUGUUUGCUGAAUUAAUGGAGCUGGUGCCUUGCAGCUUCCCUUUUGUUCCUUGAAGUUGCCCUUGCUCUCCUCCACAUCAGCUCCCUCUCCUCCUCAGCUACUUAUUCCCCACCCUGGCUUCUUCUAGUCGCAGUCCCCAAGUACUUGCUGAAUCCUGUAUGGACAGCCUAAGCCUCCAUUUCUGACAAUUCCUGUGGCCCCACUCCAUUUGUUUUUUAGACUUCUCCCUCCUUUUUGUCCCCAUCCCCCAAGUUAUAAAACUAUAAUGCAA
rnacentral:lncRNA from 1 species